rnacentral:tRNA from 1 species
UCCGAAUUGGUGUAGUGGCUAACAUUUGACGCUCUCAAGGUUCCUUGAUCUUGGAAGCACCGUCAAGCCCGGGGUUCGAUUCCCCGAUUCGGAG